rnacentral:rRNA from 1 species
AUUGAACGCUGGCGGCGUGCCUAACACAUGCAAGUCGAGCGAUUCUCUUCGGAGAAGAGCGGCGGACGGGUGAGUAACGCGUGGGUAACCUGCCCUGUACACACGGAUAACAUACCGAAAGGUAUGCUAAUACGGGAUAAUAUGCUUUAGUCGCAUGGCUGAAGUAUCAAAGCUCCGGCGGUACAGGAUGGACCCGCGUCUGAUUAGCUAGUUGGUAAGGUAAUGGCUUACCAAGGCGACGAUCAGUAGCCGACCUGAGAGGGUGAUCGGCCACAUUGGAACUGAGACACGGUCCAAACUCCUACGGGAGGCAGCAGUGGGGAAUAUUGCACAAUGGGCGAAAGCCUGAUGCAGCAACGCCGCGUGAGCGAUGAAGGCCUUCGGGUCGUAAAGCUCUGUCCUCAAGGAAGAUAAUGACGGUACUUGAGGAGGAAGCCCCGGCUAACUACGUGCCAGCAGCCGCGGUAA